AUUAUAUUAAAAAGGUACUUUAAAAUGUCAAGACAUCUCAAUCAAUGAAUACACGAUCAUAUUACAUAAAUAGAUCCGAUAACUAUGAAAAUAUAACUCAUCGUCCAAGAUGACAUUAAUAACUAAAUAACACUAACCUGUUGUGGUCGCACGGCUGAAUCUAACAACGCUAAAUCUUCCGCCGAGAAAACUGCACCGGAUUUGGUCCAUUCUCCUGAAGAUGAAAUUAUGAAUUUGUAAUAUUAUGUAGAAAAUUAUCUGAAUAAAUUUAUUUAAAACC